GACGAACGCUGGCGGCGCGCUUAACACAUGCAAGUCGAGCGAGAACCAGUCCUUCGGGACUGGGGAAAGCGGCGAACGGGUGAGUAACACGUGAGUAAUCCACCCUCGGUACCGGAAUAGCCCGGGGAAACCCGGAUUAAUGCCGGAUGGCCCAUUUCCCUUGCGGGGGAACUGGAAAAGAUAGCUUCGGCCUUCGACCGAGGACGAGCUCGCGGCGGAUUAGCUUGUUGGCGGGGUAACGGCCCACCAAGGCGACGAUCCGUAGCUGGGCUGAGAGGACGAGCAGCCACACUGGGACUGAGACACGGCCCAGACUCCUACGGGAGGCAGCAGUGGGGAAUCUUGCGCAAUGGGCGAAAGCCUGACGCAGCGACGCCGCGUGAGGGAAGAAGGCCUUCGGGUUGUAAACCUCUUUCAGGAGGGACGAAGCCACUCGGGUUCAUAGCCCAGAGGGUGACGGUACCUCCAGAAGAAGCCCCGGCUAACUACGUGCCAGCAGCCGCAGUAA
rnacentral:rRNA from 1 species